GGUGGAGCUCAGCAGGGAGGAGAAGAAGCCGGGGGAGAGACUGGAGAAGGAGAGAAGCUGGAGAGCAAAGAGAAGACCUGAAGGAGUACAUGGAGCAGAGAGACAUGUGAAGAAGCUGCACUUGCUUUUUGGUCCUGGACUGGUUGAAACAGAUGUGGGUCUUAUAUGUUUUGUAUUGAUGCGGCAAAUGGCAGAACCUAUUUAGAGCAGGCAGGUUUGGGGGUUCUGGGUGGCCCUCUCCCUGCCCUGCAACAAAAUGAAAAUAAAAAAUAAGGAUUAUAUGGGCUGUAGAAUCAGAGCUGCCAUGGCUUUCUUCUGGACAUGCACUGUUGGAAAGCACACAACAGAGAACUUGAACAACCUGCAGAUGAUUUCUCACAACAUCUCUUCAGACUUCCUACGUGGAUUCAAACACAAUAUGCAAUUAUGUCAUUUAUAUCAGUACAGAGAAACCAAGAAAGGUUAAUGUUCCAAAGCUUUUAACUGAGAUCUUUCUGCAUCAUACCAUUUUAUUUCUCUGCAAAGAAAAAAAAAAUAUUCAGCUUUAUGAUGCUAAAAGAACUGAACCAAAUAAGCCUGCAUCAUAUUAGUGAUAUUGAGUUAAGCCUCGGCUUUCAGAUUCUCCUAACUUGCCACAAUAUGAGCACUCGUGAAGCUAACAACAUUCUUCUCCAAUAUUUGGAUUUUCUCCCUAUUUAAACACCAGGGGAGGAAGAAGGGGGAGAAGAAAAGUAAUACAUUUUUCAUGUGAAUCAUCUGCCUUAUAAAGAAUAACAAUGUUAAUUGAUAUUAAAAAAAUGCUAAUGGCAAUUCCAUUUUGAAAUGAAAAUAAGAAAAAAAUGUAAUAACUCAUCUCAACUAUUCAACUCUUUGUUAGUUUUGAGGAGUGUGUGUGUUUGUUUGUGUGUGUAUUUUAUCAGAUUCAUAUGGUUAAGAAUGGGAACAAGGAAUUGGCCAUCAGAAUCCCAAAAGAGCUGAGCAAUAGUUUCAAAUGCCCCUACAUAAGCAACAUGCAGAAGUUUCCAGGAGCCCCACACCAUAAAACGCUUUUAUCACUGUAUGUCAAGUUAUCUUCAGAGGCCACUGAAAUCUUACAGCUUGAAAAAAACAGGAAGCCUCAACCACUGACCAGAUUCAACAUAAGCCAAACUAUGGAACAUGCUCAGGAGAGAGCUGGUGACUCACUUCAAUGUUAGGAUUUCCUCUGGCCCAGAUUUGCCCUCCAUUUUCUGAACAUGUGUUAUAUGAAGAAGCAUGAUCUGUGACUGCAUGCAUCACCUGGAAUGUAUGGAGGAGUUCCCCCUCCUGAUGUAAUGAAGCCAUCUCCCUUUUCCACUACUAUCUUAUUAGUUGUAUAAGCUGAAACCAGCCUUUUAGGGAGCCUUUUUUUAUAAGGAGGUCUGGAGCUCUGUUUCUUGCUCUAUCAAUUUCUAAUAAAUUCUU